UACGUAGGUGGCGAGCGUUGUCCGGAUUUACUGGGCGUAAAGGGCGUGCAGGCGGUUUGUUAAGUGCAGGGUGAAAGCUCCCGGCUCAACUGGGAGAGGUCCUUGCAUACUGGCGAACUCGAGGGAGGCAGAGGAAAGUGGAAUUCCCGGUGUAGUGGUGAUAUGCGUAGAUAUCGGGAGGAACACCUGUGGCGAAGGUGGCUUUCUGGGCCUUACCUGACGCUGAGACGCGAAAGCGUGGGGAGCGAACCGG
rnacentral:rRNA from 1 species